rnacentral:ncRNA from 1 species
UAAAGGUUUGGUCCCAGCCUUCCUAUUAGCCAAUAGCAAACUUACACAUGCAAGUAUCCGCAGACCUGUGAAAAUGCCCUCUAAAUCAAUUUGAUUAAAAGGAGCUGGUAUCAAGCACGCUAAUUUCUUAGCAGCUCAUAACACCUUGCUUAGCCACACCCCCACGGGUAACAGCAGUGAUAAAAAUUAAGCUAUAAACGAAAGUUUGACUUAGUUAUGCUAUUAUUUAAGGUUGGUAAAUUUCGUGCCAGCCACCGCGGUCAUACGAUUAACCUAAGUUAAUAGGCACCGGCGUAAAGAGUGUUAAAAUUAUAUAAAUCAAUAAAGCUAAGAUUAAACUAAGCUGUAGAAAGCAUUAGUUUUAAUAAAAAUAAACUACCAAAGUGGCUUUACUAAAAUUGAUACACGACAGCUAAGAUCCAAACUGGGAUUAGAUACCCCACUAUGCUUAGCCGUAAACUAAGACAAUUACCUAAUAAAAUUGUUCGCCAGAGUACUACUAGCAAGCGCUUAAAACUCAAAGGACUUGGCGGUGCUUUAUAUCCCUCUAGAGGAGCCUGUUCUAUAAUCGAUAAACCCCGAUAAACCUCACCACCCCUUGCCAAAUCAGCUUAUAUACCGCCAUCUUCAGCAAACCCUUAAAAGGAGUAACAGUAAGCCCAAUUAUAUAACAUAAAAACGUUAGGUCAAGGUGUAGCUAAUGGGGUGGGAAGAAAUGGGCUACAUUUUCUACAUUACAUAGAAUAUUUUACGAAAAUCUUUAUGAAACUAAAGAUUAAAGGAGGAUUUAGUAGUAAGUUAAGAAUAGAGCGCUUAACUGAAUUAGGCCAUGAAGCACGCACACACCGCCCGUCACCCUCCUCAAGUAUCUAAGUACUAACAUAUUCCUUAAUAUAAUACUUUAUCAAUAUUAGAGGAGAUAAGUCGUAACAAGGUAAGCAUACUGGAAAGUGUGCUUGGACGAAU